rnacentral:rRNA from 1 species
UGGGGAAUUUUGGACGAAUUGGGCGAAAGCCUGAAUCCAGCAAUGACGCGUGUGUGAAGAAGGCCUUCGGGUUGUAAAGCACUUUUGUCCGGAAAGAAAUCCUUGGCUCUAAUACAGUCGGGGGAUGACGGUACCGGAAGAAUAAGCACCGGCUAACUACGUGCCAGCAGCCGCGGUAAUACGUAGGGUGCAAGCGUUAAUCGGAAUUACUGGGCGUAAAGCGUGCGCAGGCGGUUUGCUAAGACCGAUGUGAAAUCCCCGGGCUCAACCUGGGACUGCAUUGGUGACUGGCAGGCUAGAGUAUGGCAGAGGGGGGUGAGAAUCCCCACGUGUAGCAGUGAAAUGCGUAGAGAUGUGGAGGAAUACCGAUGGCGAAGGCAGCCCCUGGCAAGUACUGACGCUCAUGCACGAAAGCGUGGGGAGCAAAC